GGCAAUUCAUUGGAGUUUGCUGGACGUAGCAUUGGAGAAAGGUUUAAAAAGAGAGAGAAAAAACUUCAGUAACGUGGCUUCUAGUGCUGCUGCAGAAACUGCAAGACUCAGAAAGAUGUCUGUGAUAAGGUGCAGAAGGGCUGGUGGAGGCGAGGAGAAGCUGAAGCCAUGAUCGAAAUGAAAGGGGCGACGGACUCGAGAAGGUGAAUGACUUACACGUGGAGGCACAAGAGAGACAGCUGUUCAUGUGGGAACCUGGAACAGCAAACACUCUGCUGGAGGAAGUCAGCCGGUCAGGCAUUGUCGGUGGAAGAAAAGGAAUUGUCGAACGCUUCAGGUCAAAAACCCUGCAUGAACAGCGGCAGGACUUAUAAUGGGGAAUAAGGAAUGCUGGAACUAGCAACUACUCUGUCAGUCUUCAAGGAAGAAAGAAUGAAAACUUCCAGAAAUACUGCUGAACCAGGGGUCUACUGAGAAUGAAGAAUUGAGGGAAAUAAAUAUUAAUAGAAAGAAGUACCAGAGAAGACUGUGACAAUUGUUGUUAUUCUUUUCUUUCCUUGUGGCGCAUCUGACGGCACUUUUGCCGCUUCCAUAGCAUUUAGACUAUUUUACGAGUCCAAAUUGCUAGUUCAACACUUAACCCAGCCGGGGUGAAGAGUGUGCAAGGAGCCGGCCGGAUUCAAACUCGGGACCAUUCGCCUUGAUGUUUGGUGCUGAUGCCACUACACCACUAGCCGGAAGAUACCAGAAUAAAAGCUGAAAAAUUCUGAGCGCUCAAUAACCUCCCAGAAUUCUGAAAAAGCUGACGAGAGACUGUGGGCACUCCGAUUUUCAUCUGAAAAAAAUGUUGAGUCCAACUAAUUUAACGGUAACAAAUAUGAUCCCUCAAUUUAAGAAAGGUGAAAGAGAAAAAGGUUAAAAUUCUAGCCUAAUAUCAGUGGCAGCAAAAUGUGUAAUAGCAAAACAGCAUUGACCCCAAAUUAGCAUGAAUUUGUGAAAAACAAAUGUUUGACCAGUCUAUGGGAGUUUUUGACAUCAUGAUUAAUGGAAUAGACAAACAACCAGUGGAUAUAGUUUAAUUGGAUUUCCAGUGUUUUUUUUUGGGAAGGAAUAGAACAGGAAAUUUGUGUUGAGGUGGUAAAUCACUUGUGUUCUUGAUGAAUGGGGCAAAGGAAGGUCAAAGGUCCAAAUGGUCUAUGCCUGUUCUCACCUCUUAACCCCACAACAGAUUGGCAUAAUUCUUACUCAAAACCUACUGUUUUGGUUUAUCCACAAAUAGAAUCUCUUCUGUAAACUAUUCUGCUCUGAAUUAUUAAAAUAUAAAAAGCACCUCAAACCACUUAGACCACCUCCAUCACUGUAUUCCUGUUCCUGGCUUCAGCUUUACAUCUUACCAAAAAUCCAAAAAAUGGGAAGACAGAUAGGCAGGGGAGUGCAAGUGUUUUGAACUGCACACUUGUCUGUGACCAUGCA